rnacentral:rRNA from 1 species
UGGGGAAUUUUGGACAAUGGGCGAAAGCCUGAUCCAGCAAUGCCGCGUGUGUGAAGAAGGCCUUCGGGUUGUAAAGCACUUUUGUCCGGAAAGAAAUCCUUGGCUCUAAUACAGUCGGGGGGAUGACGGUACCGGAAGAAUAAGCACCGGCUAACUACGUGCCAGCAGCCGCGGUAAUACGUAGGGUGCAAGCGUUAAUCGGAAUUACUGGGCGUAAAGCGUGCGCAGGCGGUUUGCUAAGACCGAUGUGAAAUCCCGGGCUCAACCUGGGAACUGCAUUGGUGACUGGCAGGCUAGAGUAUGGCAGAGGGGGGUAGAAUUCCACGUGUAGCAGUGAAAUGCGUAGAGAUGUGGAGGAAUACCGAUGGCGAAGGCAGCCCCCUGGGCCAAUACUGACGCUCAUGCACGAAAGCGUGGGGGAGCAAACAGGAUUAGAUACCCUGGUAGUCCACGCCCUAAAACGAUGUCAACUAGUUGUUGGGGAUUCAUUUCCUUAGUAACGUAGCUAACGCGUGAAGUUGACCGCCUGGGGAGUACGGUCGCAAGAUUAAAACUUAAAUGAAUUGACGGGGUCAUAGCUGUUUCCU